CUACGGGACGCUCCAGUGAGGAAUAUUGGACAAUGGGCGAAAGCCUGAUCCAGCCAUGCCGCGUGCAGGAAGACGGCCCUAUGGGUUGUAAACUGCUUUUGUACGGGAAGAAACACCCCCACGUGUGGGGGCUUGACGGUACCGUAAGAAUAAGCAUCGGCUAACUCCGUGCCAGCAGCCGCGGUAAUACGGAGGAUGCAAGCGUUAUCCGGAAUCAUUGGGUUUAAAGGGUCCGUAGGCGGACAAUUAAGUCAGAGGUGAAAUUCUGCGGCUCAACCGUAGAACUGCCUUUGAAACUGGUUGUCUUGAAUCGUUGUGAAGUGGUUAGAAUGAGCAGUGUAGCGGUGAAAUGCUUAGAGAUUGCUCAGAAUACCGAUUGCGAAGGCAGAUCACUAACAAUGUAUUGACGCUGAGGGACGAAAGCGUGGGGAGCGAACAGGAUUAGAUACCCUUGUAGUC
rnacentral:rRNA from 1 species